CCUACGGGAGGCAGCAGUGAGGAAUAUUGCACAAUGGGGGAAACCCUGAAGCAGCGACGCAGCGUGAGUGAAGACGUAAUUCGGUAUGUAAAGCUCUAUCAGCAGGGGAGAAAAUGACGGUACCUGAGUAAGAUGCCCCGGCCAAAUACGUGCCAGCACCCGCGGUAAUACGGAGGGUGCCAGAGUUAUCCGGAUUUACUGGGUGUAAAGGGAGCGUAGUCGGUUAUGCAAGUCUGAAGUGAAAGCCUAAGGCUCAACCAUGGGACUGCUUUGGAAACUGUAAAACUGGAGUGCAGGAGAGGUAUGCGGAAUUCGUGGUGUAGCGGUGAAAUGCGUAGAUAUUAGGAAGAACACCGGUGGCGAAGGCGGCUUACUGGACUGUAACUGACGUUGAGGCUCGAAGGCGUGGGGAGCAAACAGGAUUAGAUACCCCUGUAGUC
rnacentral:rRNA from 1 species